rnacentral:miRNA from 1 species
ACACAAAUCACCCAAAGGAUCUCAUUAAAAUGCAGAUUCUAAUUCAAGGGUUCUGUGCUGAGACUUGAGAGUCUGCAUUUCUAACAAGCACCAGGUGAUUCUGAU